GGGGUUGUGGCUCAGUGAUAGAGUGCUUGCUUAGCAUGCAUAAGGCACUAGGUUCGAUCCUCAGCCCCA
rnacentral:tRNA from 1 species